GUGUCAGCAGCCGCGGUAAUACAGAGGGUGCGAGCGUUAAUCGGAUUUACUGGGCGUAAAGCGUGCGCAGGCGGUUUUGUAAGACAGGCGUGAAAUCCCCGGGCUCAACCUGGGAAUGGCGCUUGUGACUGCAAAGCUGGAGUGCGGCAGAGGGGGAUGGAAUUCCGCGUGUAGCAGUGAAAUGCGUAGAUAUGCGGAGGAACACCGAUGGCGAAGGCAAUCCCCUGGGCCUGCACUGACGCUCAUGCACGAAAGCGUGGGGAGCAAACAGGAUUAGAUACCCUGGUAGUCCACGCCCUAAACGAUGUCAACUGGUUGUUGGGUAUUUACUUACUCAGUAACGAAGCUAACGCGUGAAGUUGACCGCCUGGGGAGUACGGCCGCAAGGUUGAAACUUAAAGGAAUUGGCGG
rnacentral:rRNA from 1 species